CAUGGUUUUUUCCGAGGGAGGUCUAUAUGUCUACUUCUAGAUUUCUGGUUCUUUUCUCUAUUUUUCAUCAAAUUAUCGUCAACUCUCCUCCUAUUUCUUUCACAAUCUUCCCAAAUAUAACUUUGUUCAGAUGCAUCAAAAGUAAAAGUAACACACUAAAGCGUUAUUUCCAAGAUUUUAAAGACUACUCAGGUUGCGAAUCCUUCGAUGUAUAUUAUACUACUGGGAAUCUUCUUUCAACCCCAGUUGAGUGUGCAGCUGUCCCAGUGCCAAUGUAAUCGCAAUAUGAUGCAAAUUUGAUGGAUUUUUGGAUCUGUUUACCGACGAAUAUGAAAUUGAAUGGCAUCCGAGGCCAAUGUACAACUAACAUCAGGAAUCAUUUUGAACGCCAAAAAAGGUGCCAAGACCGAAAAUCUUUUCUCUUACGAGAUCUUUCAUGUUCAUGGCUUAUCAAAGAUUCAAGCUGCUGCAGUCCCUAUUAGAGCUUUCUUGAAGGGAUUGGUGUUUGGAGGAUCUUGCUGUCGACCAAGCAUAUAAACAGUAAAUUCAAUUUGAGAUCAGGGUCCGCAUUCAGCCAUUCACAAGUUUAUGUUUGGAUUGUCGUCACACUGAGCUCGACAAUGAAAGAUCUGAGUUUUGGUCCAACAUGAUCGAGCAAAGUAAGGCAAGCGGUUCAACACAUUUAAUCAUGGGAAAUUUUUACUUCAAGUAAGUUUCUACAACC